rnacentral:tRNA from 1 species
GCCGAUGUGGUGGAAUUGGUAGACACGNNNNUGAGGGGGUAGUGGCGCAAGCCGUGUCGGUUCGAGUCCGACCAUCGGCACCA